rnacentral:rRNA from 1 species
UACAGAGGUCUCAAGCGUUGUUCGGAUUCAUUGGGCGUAAAGGGUGCGUAGGCGGCGCGGUAAGUCGGGUGUGAAAUCUCGGAGCUUAACUCCGAAACUGCAUUCGAUACUGCCGUGCUUGAGGACUGGAGAGGAGACUGGAAUUUACGGUGUAGCGGUGAAAUGCGUAGAUAUCGUAAGGAAGACCAGGGGCGAAGGCGGGUCUCGGGACAGUUCCUGACGCUGAGGCACGAAGGUCAGGGGAGCAAACGGG